GCCUCAUGGAUCCGUUCACACAGCCCAUCGUCGAUCUGCGCGUUCUCACUCAGGCUGCCCAGGAGCUUGUUCACCAGCUGACACACCCGGAACCGCACCGCGUGGCUGCUCACGCCGUGACACUGCGACAGACAAAGAGGUUACCUCCAACAGAAAGUUGAACAGGAAACUCAGAAAUGUAUCCUCCUCCUCUUCCUCAUCCUCUUCCUCCUCCUCCUCCUCUCUGAUGGGAGUCUCGAAGCUGGCGGCAAACUUCACCACGAAGUCGAUGACACUUUCCACCGCCGGCUCUCUGGUGUAGACGAUCAGCGCGUAUUUUAGGCAGCGCAGAAACUCCUCGUGGAACUCUGCCUUAUCCUCUGACUACAGAACACACACACACACACACACGAGUGAACUUCAGACGAAGCCAUGACCAAUAUAUACAAAAUGGCUCACACUGCCAAGCUUCACAAAAACAUGGGGAUGUUUAGAAAUAUAACAGGCUUUACCUUAACAUACAUGUUCUUCAGACUGGCCACCAGCUUGGCCUUGUUGUUGUGCGCUUUUUGAGCGCGCUGGAAGGUUUCACGGAUCUCCAGUUCAGAAUCAGCAGUCAUGUUGACGCUCCUAAAACACACAAACACACACACACAACUUAAUCGAUAUAUUCUUCAUUAACCAUUACAAACCACUGGACACCUCAAAACAGAAAUGACCCUAAAGGCUGAAUGGAGACACACAGGACAGGACAUUUUUAAAAAAUAUAAUUCCAGCCAAAGCCAUCUGACAUCUCAAAGCUGAAACGUGUAAACGAGUGUUUGCAGUUAAUAAUCCACACACGUAUGACCUGGGCAUGCAAAGCACCUUAAAAAAUAAGAAAAGGGUUUUGCAUGUGGUGUUAAUUUAUUAGUCGUCAACAUACAGCGUUCGAGGAGAUUACCUGAUCUUCCCAAGUCCCAUCGAGUGUUAAUCUCUAUCGAUGGGAAAACAUGACCCAAGUUAGUGUACAUGCAGAAACUAAAGUGUUCUUCAUCUGGAUAUGUCACUCAUCAGCAUAUUUCUUAAACUGUACCUCUGCGUCUAGUUUUAAUCACAGUAAAGUCGAUUUAAAUAACAGCAGCAUAUGGGUUGUGUUACUUUUGGUUUUAAUCCUAAUCUAACAGGAGUGCAGACGCUGAUCUCUGUAAAUGUGUUGAUUCACUUCUCUUGUCAAAGGUUUAACUUCCUGUAUAAAUUCAAUCCUGACACAGA